GGGGAUUUAGCUCAGUGGUAGAGCGCUUGCCUAGCAAACGCAAGGCCCUGGGUUCAAUCCCCAGCUCCA
rnacentral:tRNA from 1 species